AUGGCCGUGUUUGACACCAUUAAGGAGGAGGGUUGUGAAGCUGACUAUGACCUGGCCAAGGACAGCUGCAGCUGGAAGAGCUGCAUUGAGGGGGAUCCAAGGCCUGUCAGGAGCAUCCUCUUCAGCCCUGAUGGCUGCUGCUUGUACAGUGGCUGCAGGACUCGCUGCAUGUCUAUGGCUGGGAGUCUGAGUGCUGCUUCGAUGUGGUCAUUGUCAACUGGGGCAAGGUGGCUGACCUGGCCAUCUGUAAUGACCAGCUGAUAGGUGUGGCCUUCUCCCAGGGUAAUGUCUCCUCUUGUGUGGUGGACCUGACGGGAGUCACCAGAACAGGCACUGUGCCCCAGGACCCUGUGCAGGCUAGGCAGCCUCUGCCACAGCAGACCCCCAACCCUGGUGCCUCCCUCCACCACAUCUACAAGUGGUCCAGCACAACCUGCAGCAAGCCUCAGCGGGGGACAGCACAGCUCAGAGAGCGAGCGGCACAGCCCCAGUAGCAAAGAUGACAAGGACGAGCCUGAGUCCCUGGCCGAGAUCCAGAAUACCGAGGUCUACAAUGAGAUCUUCCAGCCCGAGAAUAGCAUCCGUCAGACACCACCCCCGGAGAAGCGAGCCCUUCCCGGCACCCCCAGAGGAUGACAGAGCCACAGCAAAGGAGGCUGACAUAACCCAGCCUCGCCAUGGAUGUGCAGUUGCUGGGACCAAAUCUCGAGGUCCCAGCCCCACCUCCUGUCAUGACUUCCACUCCUGAACCCAAGGGUGAGCCUGUCACCAUCCCUGCCACAUGGGAUGAGCCCAUUCCAUUGGCCCAAAGGCCUCUGACUUACUGCCCACCAUGAAGGCCCCCCAGCAGGCAGAGCUGGUGGAUGAGGAUACCAUGUCACAGAUACAUAAAGGCCACAACACCAUGUGUGUGGUGCUCACCAGCUGCCACAAGCACCUGGACACUGGACAUGCCAUGUGGACCCCAGGAGAUAUCAAGACAUGGAUGGACUCUGCAGCAGCCAUCAGUGACCUCUCUAUGGUGGUAGACCUCCUGAACAUUGUCAACCAGAAAACUUCCCUGUGAAGUUGGAUCUGUGCACCGCUACCAUGCUACCACAAAUCGAGAAACUUCUGCAGAGCAAGUGUGAGAGCUAUGUCCAGACCAGGUGCACCUCCCUGAAGCUGAUCCUGCAGUGGUUCCUGCCCCUCAUCCCGGUGACAGCCCCGCCCUCUGUGGGUGUGGACACCAGUCAAGAGGAGAGAGGCUGCACAAGUUCUGAAUCUGCUUCAAACAACUGCAGAGCAUUGGGGGCCUCGUCAAGAGCCAGUCAGAUCUGAGUGGCCGCCAUGGCAGCCCUUCCUUGAACUGCAGCUAUCCAUGACCAGUUUGGACUGA